AUUGAACGCUGGCGGCAUGCUUUACACAUGCAAGUCGAACGGUAACAGGCCUUCGGGUGCUGACGAGUGGCGAACGGGUGAGUAAUGCAUCGGAACGUGCCCAGAGGUGGGGGAUAACGCAGCGAAAGCUGUGCUAAUACCGCAUGUGAUCUGAGGAUGAAAGCGGGGGACCAGGCAGCAAUGUUUGGCCUCGCGCCUUUGGAGCGGCCGAUGUCAGAUUAGGUAGUUGGUGGGGUAAAGGCCUACCAAGCCGACGAUCUGUAGCUGGUCUGAGAGGACGACCAGCCACACUGGGACUGAGACACGGCCCAGACUCCUACGGGAGGCAGCAGUGGGGAAUUUUGGACAAUGGGCGCAAGCCUGAUCCAGCAAUGCCGCGUGCGGGAAGAAGGCCUUCGGGUUGUAAACCGCUUUUGUACGGAACGAAAAGGCUCUGGCUAAUACCUGGGGCUGAUGACGGUACCGUAAGAAUAAGCACCGGCUAUCUACGUG
rnacentral:rRNA from 1 species